GUUUGCGGUGUGCUAUGCAUGCAGUCGAACGGGAUCUUUUGGAUUCGUCUGAAAGUGAGAGUGGCGAACGGGUGAGUAACACGUUGGUGACCUACCCCAAAGAGAGGGAUAACCAUUGGAAACGAUGGCUAAUACCUCGGAUGUAUUACUAUUUAGAAAGGUAAUACUAAAGCUCCGGCGCUUUGGGAGGGGCCUGCGGUCCAUCAGCUAGUUGGUAAGGUAAUGGCUUACCAAGGCAAAGACGGAUAGGGGGCGUGAGAGCGUGACCCCCCACACUGGUACUGAGACACGGACCAGAUACCUGCGGGUAGCAGCAGCAAGGAAUAUUGCGCAAUCGACGAAAGUCGGACGCAGCAACACCGCGUGAAGGAUGAAGGCCUUCGGGUCGUAAACUUCUUUUCUGGGGGAAGAGAAAGGACGGUACCCCAGGAAUAAGUCUCGGCUAACUACGUGCCAGCAGCCGCGGUAAAACGUAGGAGGCGAGCGUUAUCCGGAUUUAUUGGGCGUAAAGCGCAUGCAGGCGGUUUACAAAGUCGGACGUGAAAGCUCCUGGCUCAACUAGGAGAGGCCGUUCGAAACUAGUAGACUUGAGGAUGGUAGAGGUGAGUGGAAUUCCAGGUGUAGUGGUGAAAUGCGUAGAUAUCUGGAGGAACACCAGUGGCGAAGGCGGCUCACUGGGCCAUUCCUGACGCUCAGAUGCGAAAGCUAGGGGAGAGAACGGGAUUAGAAACCCCGGUAUUCCUAGCCGUAAACGAUGUCAACUAGGCGUAGGAGGUUAUUGACCCCUUCUGUGCUGCAGCUAACGCGUUAAGUUGACCGCCUGGGGACUACGGCCGCAAGGCUAAAACUCAAAGGAAUUGACGGGGACCCGCACAAGCAGCGGAGCGUGUGGUUUAAUUCGAGGCUACGCGAAGAACCUUACCAGGUUUGACAUAUACGUGGUAGAGAAUCGAAAGAGGAUCGACCCUUCGGGGAGCGUAUACAGGUGCUGCAUGGCUGUCGUCAGCUCGUGCCGUGAGGUGUUAGGUUAA
rnacentral:rRNA from 1 species